rnacentral:rRNA from 2 species
GGAUUCCCCUAGUAACUGCGAGUGAAGCGGGAAAAGCUCAAAUUUAAAAUCUGGUAGUCUUUUUGGCUAUCCGAGUUGUAAUCUAGAGAAGUGUUAUCUGCGCUGGACCGUGUAUAAGUCUCCUGGAAUGGAGCGUCAUAGAGGGUGAGAAUCCCGUCUUUGACACGGACUACCAGGGCUUUUGUGAUGCACUCUCAAAGAGUCGAGUUGUUUGGGAAUGCAGCUCAAAAUGGGUGGUAAAUUCCAUCUAAAGCUAAAUAUUGGCGAGAGACCGAUAGCGAACAAGUACCGUGAGGGAAAGAUGAAAAGAACUUUGGAAAGAGAGUUAAACAGUACGUGAAAUUGCUGAAAGGGAAACGCUUGAAGUCAGUCGCGUUGUCCAGGAAUCAACCUUGCUUUUGCUUGGUGUACUUUCUGGUUGACGGGUCAAUAUCAAUUUUAAUCAUUGGAGACAUCUUAAUGGAAUGUAGCAUCUUUGGAUGUGUUAUAGCCUUUAUUUUAUAUACAAUGGUUGGGAUUGAGGAACUCAGCACGCCAUAAGGCCGAGUUUUGUUACAAAACUACGUACGUGCUUAGGAUGUUGGCAUAAUGGCUUUAAUCGACCCGUCUUGAAACACGGACCAAGGAGUCUAACAUACCUGCAAGUGUUUGGGUGGAAAACCCAAGUGCGUAAUGAAAGUGAAAGUUGAGAUCCCUGUCGUGGGGAGCAUCGACGCCCAGACCAGACCUUUUGUGACGGUUCUGCGGUAGAGCAUGUAUGUUGGGACCCGAAAGAUGGUGAACUAUGCCUGAAUAGGGUGAAGCCAGAGGAAACUCUGGUGGAGGCUCGUAGCGAUUCUGACGUGCAAAUCGAUCGUCAAAUUUGGGUAUAGGGGCGAAAGACUAAUCGA